rnacentral:rRNA from 1 species
GGACGAACGCUGGCGGCGUGCUUAACACAUGCAAGUUGAGCGACAGUCAUUUGAAGUAGCGAUACGGAAGAUGAUAUGGAGCGGCGGACGGGUGAGUACAACAUGAGUAGCUAUCCUUUAACGGGGGACAACGUUUGGAAACGGACGCUAAUACCCCAUAAGCCGAGAGGUUAAAGCAGCGAUGCGAUGAGGGAGGCGCUCGUGCCCUAUCAGCUAGUUGGCGAGGUAAUGGCUCACCAAGGCAAUGACGGGUAGCCGGCCUGAGAGGGCGACCGGCCACACUGGAACUGAGAUACGGUCCAGACUCCUACGGGAGGCAGCAGUGGGGAAUAUUGGGCAAUGGGAGAAAUCCUGACCCAGCAACGCCGCGUGAACGAAGAAGGCUCUUGGGUCGUAAAGUUCUUUUGCGCGGGAAGAAGAAAGUGACGGUACUGCGCGAAUAAGCCCCGGCUAACUACGUGCCAGCAGCCGCGGUAAUACGUAGGGGGCGAGCGUUGUCCGGAAUUACUGGGCGUAAAGGGCACGCAGGCUGUGCCGUAAGUCAGCUGUAAAAUGAUGCGGCUUAACCGUGUUUAGCAGUUGAAACUACGGCGCUGGAGUAUCGGAGAGGCAAGUGGAAUUCCCAGUGUAGCGGUGAAAUGCGUAGAUAUUGGGAAGAACAUCGGUGGCGAAGGCGACUUGCUGGCCGGUAACUGACGCUCAUGUGCGAAAGCCAGGGGAGCAAACGGGAUUAGAUACCCCGGUAGUCCUGGCGGUAAACGAUGAAUGCUGGGUGUGCGAGUAGAGAUACUGGUGUGCCGUAGUUAACGCGAUAAGCAUUCCGCCUGGGGAGUACGGUCGCAAGAUUGAAACUCAAAGG